rnacentral:rRNA from 1 species
CGUGCAGGUGGUAAUGUAAGUUGGAUGUGAAAGCUCCUGGCUUAACUGGGAGAGGUCGUUCAAAACUGCAUAACUAGAGUACGAUAGAGGGAGGUAGAAUUCCGAGUGUAGUGGUGAAAUGCGUAGAUAUUCGGAGGAAUACCAGAGGCGAAGGCGGCCUCCUGGAUCGUAACUGACACUGAGACGCGAAAGCUAGGGUAGCAAACAGGAUUAGAUACCCUGGUAGUCC